GGCUUGAUAGCUCAGUUGGUAGAGCACUGCACCGAUACCGCAGUGGUCAUGGGUUCGAAUUCCGUUCAGGUCU
rnacentral:tRNA from 1 species